UUUCCGUGUCCCUUUCGGAAGUACUCGGCAAUCGCUCGGCCUCCCCCAUCCCCCGGUAACGGUCGCUGGUGAGUUUAAAUGAGCCGGGGCUGGCCGGGCCGGAGCCGCUACGGGGGGGGGCCUGAGGCACUGCAGAAAGUGGGCCUGAGCCUCAAGGAUGACGGUGCUGCAGGAACCCGUCCAGGCUGCUAUAUGGCAAGCACUAAACCACUAUGCUUACAGAGAUGCAGUUUUCCUCGCAGAACGACUAUAUGCAGAAGUACACUCAGAAGAAGCCUUGUUUUUACUGGCAACCUGUUAUUACCGCUCAGGAAAAGCAUAUAAAGCAUAUAGACUCUUGAAAGGACACAGUUGUACAACACCGCAAUGUAAAUACCUGCUUGCAAAAUGUUGUGUCGAUCUCAGCAAGCUUGCAGAAGGGGAACAGAUCUUAUCUGGUGGAGUGUUUAAUAAGCAGAAAAGCUAUGAUGACAUUGUAACUGAGUUUGGUGAUUCUGCUUGUUUUACUCUUUCAUUGUUGGGACAUGUAUAUUGCAAGACAGAUCGACUUGCCAAAGGAUCAGAAUGUUACCAAAAGAGCCUUAGUUUAAAUCCUUUCCUCUGGUCCCCCUUUGAAUCAUUAUGUGAAAUAGGUGAAAAGCCAGAUCCUGACCAAACAUUUAAGUUAACAUCUCUACAGAACUUUAGCAACUGUCUGCCCAACUCUUGCACAACACUAGUAUCUAAUCAUAGUUUAUCUCACAGACAGCCUGAGACAGUUCUUACAGAAACACCCCAGGACACAAUUGAAUUAAACAGACUGAAUUUAGAAUCUUCCAAUUCAAAGUACUCCUUGAAUACAGAUUCCUCAGUAUCUUAUAUUGAUUCAGCUGUAAUUUCACCAGAUACUGUCCCUCUUGGAACAGGAACUUCCAUAUUAUCUAAACAGGUUCAAAAUAAACCAAAAACUGGUCGAAGUUUGUUAGGAGGACCAACUGCUCUUAGCCCAUUAACCCCAAGUUUUGGGAUUUUGCCAUUAGAAACCCCAAGUCCUGGAGAUGGAUCCUAUUUACAAAACUACACUAAUACAUCUUCUGUAAUUGACGUGCCAUCCACCGGAGCCCCUUCAAAAAAGUCUGUUACCAGAAUCGGCCAAACUGGAACAAAGUCUGUCUUCUCACAAAGUGGAAAUAGUCGAGAGGUAACCCCAAUUCUUGUUGCGCAAACACAAAGUUCUGGCCCACAAACAAGUACAACACCUCAGGUAUUGAGCCCCACUAUCACAUCUCCCCCAAACGCACUGCCUCGAAGAAGUUCACGACUUUUUACUAGUGACAGCUCUACAACCAAGGAGAAUAGCAAAAAAUUAAAAAUGAAGUUUCCACCUAAAAUCCCAAACAGAAAAACAAAAAGUAAAACUAAUAAAGGAGGAAUAACUCAACCUAACAUAAAUGAUAGCUUGGAAAUCACAAAAUUGGACUCUUCGAUUAUUUCAGAGGGGAAAAUCUCUACAAUCACACCUCAGAUCCAGGCAUUUAAUCUACAGAAAGCAGCAGCAGAAGGUUUGAUGAGCCUUCUUCGUGAAAUGGGGAAAGGUUAUUUAGCUUUGUGCUCGUACAACUGCAAAGAAGCUAUAAAUAUCUUGAGCCACCUACCUUCUCACCACUACAAUACUGGUUGGGUACUGUGCCAAAUUGGAAGGGCCUAUUUUGAACUUUCAGAGUACAUGCAAGCUGAAAGAAUAUUCUCAGAAGUUAGAAGAAUUGAGAAUUACAGAGUUGAAGGCAUGGAGAUCUAUUCUACAACACUUUGGCAUCUUCAAAAGGAUGUUGCUCUUUCAGUUCUUUCAAAAGACUUAACAGACAUGGAUAAAAAUUCACCAGAGGCCUGGUGUGCUGCAGGGAACUGUUUCAGUUUGCAACGAGAACAUGACAUUGCAAUUAAAUUCUUCCAGAGAGCUAUCCAGGUUGAUCCAAAUUAUGCUUAUGCCUAUACCCUCUUAGGGCAUGAGUUUGUGUUAACUGAAGAAUUAGACAAAGCAUUAGCUUGUUUUCGAAAUGCCAUCAGAGUCAAUCCUAGACAUUAUAAUGCAUGGUAUGGUUUAGGAAUGAUUUAUUACAAGCAAGAAAAAUUCAGCCUUGCAGAAAUGCAUUUCCAGAAAGCACUUGACAUCAAUCCUCAAAGUUCAGUUUUGCUUUGUCACAUCGGAGUAGUUCAGCAUGCACUGAAGAAAUCGGAGAAGGCUUUGGAUACCCUAAAUAAAGCCAUUGUUAUUGAUCCCAAGAACCCUCUAUGCAAAUUUCACAGAGCUUCAGUUUUAUUUGCAAAUGAAAAAUACAAGUCUGCUUUACAAGAACUUGAAGAAUUGAAACAAAUUGUUCCCAAAGAAUCCCUCGUUUACUUCUUAAUAGGAAAGUGCUGCUGUUUAUUUUUAGGUUUACAAGAAGUUAGGUCAAACGCACCUCGCCCUGAUGAAUUUCUCUUGGGCUAUGGAUUUAGAUCCUAAAGGAGCCAAUAACCAGAUUAAAGAGGCAAUUGAUAAGCGCUACCUUCCAGAUGAUGAGGAGCCAAUAACGCAAGAAGAACAGAUCAUGGGAACAGAUGAAUCCCAGGAGAGCAGCAUGACAGAUGCAGAUGACACACAACUUCAUGCAGCUGAAAGUGAUGAAUUUUAACUUCUGGAAAUGAGACUUUUACAACUGGAUGUGUGACUAGUGCUGACAUGUUUCUUACCCUUCCAUAUACUGAGUCUUCACUCUUGAGCCAGCAGUGUCAUCAUCCAUCACUUGUACCAUGAGUGUGCCACUUUAAUUGGACCCUGACUACACAGAAUGAAAGGCAGUGCAAUAUUUAGCUGCUAACAAGACUGGCUCUUUCACCAGUAUGAAUGACAAUUUAGGGGGGUAGGGUGGGGAACUUCCUUUUUUUUUUUUCUUUAAUCUCCCUCUGUCGGAAAGCUAUCAUGGAAGGAAGAGUUAUGUUUUAUCUUGAAGGAGCCAUUAGAUACAGAAAAUAGUGAUGAACCGGAAGUUCUUGGUCAUUUUUCCAAAAAUUUGUUUUCGUUUGGUUCUGUUCCUGAUAAACAGAGUGACUGACCUUCAUUUCUAGGUUCUUCAAAAAUGGUGUUAGCAAGUGCCAGAUGGAACAAUAAAAGACAUUGCCUAUAACAGAGUAACUUGAUUGCCAAGGAAUGUAAAUUACCUUAAACUUGCAGUGUCUCCCAUAAACAAAUGUAAUGGGCAUAUUGGGACUCAGUGUAGAAAUCAAUAUCCCUCCAUACAGUGUACACUCAUUCUUGGCAAGAAUGCUUUAAUGUCUAACCAAGAAUUUUAAUUUAAUCAUCUUGGUUCAAGGUAUUGAUCAUUGUUGUCUUGGUAUUACAAACUUUAAAAUUGGUCCUUACUAUAUUGCCUCUUCUUUUUGAGCUCUGUGGGAUCACCUUUAACAUUCAGAGAUGAUAGAGGGGUUGCCACUGAAAAGCCAAAACAAGGCUCUUAAUAACCAUUAAGAAUCAAAAUGAGAACACUAAGUGGAGAGACUUUUAGAGAUCAUGAUAGUGAAAGCCUUAAUGCAAUCAGAAUCAUACCAUAACCUUGAAUCUAUAUUUGUUCCAGACAGUAUCCCUUUGACUUUUCUAAGUGUUCGAGCAGGGUGCAAAAAUGUGUGGUUACCUUUGGUUGAGGUCAUUUCCAUUUUUUUAAGCUCUCUGCUUCAGAUUAUUUUCAUUACUAUGAGUCAAGAAAAUGUUUAUUGAGAGUGAUUGGAUUUAGAAUAGUAGAAAUUUUUAGCUUUAAAAAACAAAAAAACCCACUCUUAUGAAGGAGAUGAGUUCUCUCUUGAGUUUGUCAUAAUAUAGGUUGAUGUCUGGGGGAAUGACCACAAUUUUAAAGAGCUAAUUAUGCAUAAUAAAAUGGGAAUUAUUGGAAUUUCACAGUAAUAGAUUUAAAGUCUUAAAUUGUGUAUCUCCUUUAUUGUAAUGUAUUGAAAUUUUUAGAGAAACUUUAGUUGUUAACAUUUUAUUAAGUGCCAAUGUCAAAAUAUAACAAAUUAUAAGUUCUUACGACAGGCCUACAGUUUAUUGUUUUGGAUUAUUUGAUGAAGGACAAACUUACUUCCUGCUUACCUGUAUUUGUUAGUCAAGCUGUGAUAAUAAGGUGGAUUACAGAAGAUGUUAAAAUUUUAGAAUCAGUAAUUUUCUAUCAUUUACUGUUAAUCUGCUCAUUUGAAUAUGGAUUAGAUACCAUUAUAAACUAAUUCAAGUCAGAGUCUUAGAUUAGGUAUUGGAUGCCAGAGAGGUAUUUAACAGAAUUUCCUACCUAAUUCUAAAUAUGUGCUGCCUAAAAAAAAAAAAAAAAUUAUAAGAAAAAGGAAAGGUUGGAAGUAAAUAUCAUUAAAAAUUUCCAGAGGCUAGCACUUGGAUUCUAACAAAUACUCCAUUUUAUUAUCCAUUUGUUCUGUAAUAUUUAAUUUUAUAUAUAUUUUUUUAAUUGGCAAAUCAUAAGCCAGCUGUGUAACAGUAUCAAAUAUAGAAUUUCAUAGAAAGCUUUGACCUGAGCUCUUUGUUACAAAGCCUGGAGAAAGUUACGCUCAGAAAACAAUUUGCUGAUGUAUAAUUAGUUAUCUUUUUAUAGUAGGAAUGUAUGUCCUGUGCCAGAGGUGGUCUUUCUGGUACUAAUUUUGAGACCAAGGAUAAAAGGAUAGUUGUGGAAGGCACAGCAUGGCAGUGGUUGGCUGAGGGAUACUCAGCCUAAGCUUGACCUAACUGCAUUUUCCUCACACCUACUUUCAAAGGCAUUUAGGUAUUUGAAGGCUUAUUUCCCACCUAGUUACUGUUUCUGGCUUUUCUCUCUCUCUCUUUUUUUUUUUUUUUUUGCCGGGAAUGGGGAUCAAACAACCAGAAGAAGACAAGCAUUUUGAUCAAGCAAUGUUUGCUUCAAAUUUCAGUUAUUUUGAAGGAAAUCAGAAAUACUAAGUACUUUGACAUCCUUUUUUCUCUUUAAGCUUUUCACACAUGUAUACACACACACACACACACACACACACACACACACACUCUUGUUCAGAAGUUGUGUUGUGGCAUUGGACUGGGAAUCAUUUUUCCCUCUUGGAAAUGAUUCUUAACUCUGGGAUUUUAGAAGGUUGGAAAUAUUUUUUCAAGAGAACAAUGGUACUCAAAAUAAUGAAAGGUGGUCCUACUUUUUCUGUAUUUUAUUACUUUAAAUUUUUUAAUUUUUCCAAGAACUGCAAGUAACAUUUGAACCAUGCUGCUGUUGUACUUAAUCAAAACUCAGUGAUAACAGUAUUUAGUAUAUUAAAAAUGCUCUUUUUGAAGAAAAAAGUUUGCAAGUCUCUGUUUAGCCAGAGUAUAGCUUGGGUCUUCACAAGAAAUAUGGUGACCCGUUUUCUUUGUGAAAACCUUGGAAAAUCUAAGUGUGGGUGUGCUGUGUGUGUUCUAUUUGCAUUGAAACAAUGUAAUUUUGUGUCUUCUUUUUGCUUUUCCUGACUUAUUUCAGAAAUUGUACAGUCUUGGGGGGGGAAAGUCUUUUCUGUUAAUAUAUUUGCAAUUCAUUAAAGGAUAUGAAAAGUCCAAAUAAAUUACUUUUGAAAGCA